rnacentral:rRNA from 1 species
AGGAAUCUGCCUGGUAGUGGGGGACAACGUUUCGAAAGGAACGCUAAUACCGCAUACGUCCUACGGGAGAAAGCAGGGGACCUUCGGGCCUUGCGCUAUCAGAUGAGCCUAGGUCGGAUUAGCUAGUAGGUGAGGUAAUGGCUCACCUAGGCGACGAUCCGUAACUGGUCUGAGAGGAUGAUCAGUCACACUGGAACUGAGACACGGUCCAGACUCCUACGGGAGGCAGCAGUGGGGAAUAUUGGACAAUGGGCGAAAGCCUGAUCCAGCCAUGCCGCGUGUGUGAAGAAGGUCUUCGGAUUGUAAAGCACUUUAAGUUGGGAGGAAGGGCAGUAAGUUAAUACCUUGCUGUUUUGACGUUACCAACAGAAUAAGCACCGGCUAACUUCGUGCCAGCAGCCGCGGUAAUAAU